AGAAUGAACGCUGGCGGCGUGCUUUACACAUGCAAGUCGAGCGAGGCGGCCCGCAAGGGUCAGUCGAGCGGCGAACGGGUGAGUAACACGUGGAUUAUCUGCCCUGAGGUGGGGGAUAACCCGGGGAAACUCGGGCUAAUACCGCAUGAUACCGAGAGGUCAAAGGGGGCUCGCAAGAGCUCUCGCCAUAGGAGGAGUCCGCGUCCGAUUAGCUAGUUGGUAGGGUAAUGGCCUACCAAGGCGACGAUCGGUAGCCGGCCUGAGAGGGUGAUCGGCCGACACUGGAACUGAGACACGGUCCAGACUCCUACGGGAGGCAGCAGUGGGAAUUUGCGCGAUGGGCUAACGCCUGACGCAGCAACGCCGCGUGGAGGAUGAAGGUCUUUGGAUUGUAAACUCCUGUCAGCAGGAAAAAGCGACUCGGAUUAAUACUCCGGGAGUUGAUUGUACCUGCAGAGGAGCCCGGCUAACUCUAGUGCCAGCAGCCGCGGUAAUCGUA
rnacentral:rRNA from 1 species